rnacentral:rRNA from 1 species
GGCCUACGGGGGGCAGCAGUGGGGAAUAUUGCACAAUGGGGGAAACCCUGAUGCAGCGACGCCGCGUGAGUGAAGAAGUAUUUCGGUAUGUAAAGCUCUAUCAGCAGGGAAGAAAAUGACGGUGCCUGACUAAGAAGCCCCGGCUAACUACGUGCCAGCAGCCGCGGUAAUACGUAGGGGGCAAGCGUUAUCCGGAUUUACUGGGCGUAAAGGGAGCGUAGACGGCGGCGCAAGUCUGAAGUGAAAUCCCUUGGCUUAACCAUGGAACUGCUUUGGAAACUGUGCAGCUGUAG